ACGAACGCUGGCGGCGUGGGAUAAGACAUGCAAGUUGAACGGAAUACUUUUCUGUAGCAAUACGGGGGAGUGUUUAGUGGCGAAAAGGGUGCCGUAACACGUGGGCAAUCUGCCCUGAAGUGGGGGGAUAGCUCGCCGAAAGGCGAAUUAAAUACCGCAUGGGGGUUAAGGGAGACAUCUUUCCUGACACCAAAAGCCGGGGCAACCUGGUGCUUCUGGAUGAGUCCGCGGCCUAUCAGCUAGUUGGUGAGGGUAACGGCUCACCAAGGCGAUGACGGGUAGCUGGUCUGAGAGGACGACCAGCCCACACUGGAACUGAGAGGACGGUCCCAGACACCUACGGGUGGGCAGCAGUCGAGAAUUUUUCUCAAUGGGGGCAAACCCUGAAGGAGCGGACGCCGCGUGGGAGGAUGAAGGUCUUCGGAUUGUAAACUCCUGUCAUUAGGGGAACAAGUGCUAUGGGAGUGACUGCCCGUAGUUUGAUAGUACCUGAAGAGGAAAGAGACGGCUAACUCUGUGCCAGCAGCCGCGGUUAAAUACAGAGGUCUCAAGCGUUGUUCGGAUUCAUUGGGCGGUAAAGGGGUGCGUAGGUGGCGGGGCCAGUCAGGUGUGAAAUCCCCGGGGCUUAACCCUGGAAACUGCAUUUGAUACUGCCUUGCUGGAGAACUGGAGAGGAGACUGGAAUUUACGGUUGUAGCAGUGAAAUGCGUAGAGAUCGUAAGGAAGACCAGUGGCGAAGGCGAGUCUCUGGACAGUUACUGACACUGAGGCACGAAGGCCAGGGGAGCAAACGGGAUUAGAUACCCCGGGGUAAGUCCCUGGCAGGUAAACGGUGCGCGUUUUGGUGUGGGAGGAUUCGACCCCUUCCGUGCCGGAGGCUAACGCGUUAAAACGCGCCGCCUGGGGAGUACGGUCGCAAGAUUAAAACUCAAAGAAAUUGACGGGGGGCCCGCACAAGCGGUGGAGUAUGUGGCUUAAUUCGAUGCAACGCGAAAGAACCUUACCUGGCCUUGACAUGCAUUGUGUAACUGGUGAAAGCCAGUGACUGGAGCAAAUCCAGGCCUUGCACAGGUGCUGCCAUGGCUGUCGUCAGCUCGUGUCGUGAGAUGUUGGGUUAAGUCCCGCAACGAGGCGCAACCCCUGUGAACUGUUUGCCACUGGGCCGAGAGGCUCAAGCACUCUGUUCAGACUGCCCUGUGAAAACGGGGAGGAAGGUGGGGAUGACGUCAAGUCAGCAUGGCCCCUUACGGCCAGGGCUGCACACGUACUACAAUGCCCAGCACAGAAGGAACCAAGACCGCGAGGUGGGAGGAAAAUCAAUGAAAACUGGGCUCAAUUCGGAUCGCAGGCUGCAACUCGCCCUGCGUGAAGCCGGAAUCGCUAAGUAAUGGCGCAUCAGCUACGGCGCCCGUGAAUACGUUCCCGGGCCUUGUACACACCGCCCCGUCACAUCAUGGAAGUCACUUGUACCCGAAGUAUGUGCGCCAACCGCAAGGGGGCAGCAUCCUAAGGUAUGAGUGGUAACUGGGAUG
rnacentral:rRNA from 1 species